GUCCUACCUCUCUUUCAAAUCUUACCUGAAACUGAAAGCAUAGCUUCCUCCAAGAUAAAAGGGCCGGAGCACUGCCUCCUCGAAAGGCACCGGGACCGAACCACUGAGGAUCCACAGGAAGUCAGUUAUUUUUGAACUUGGAGAUGACAUCUCUUCUAGCCAUAGCAGUUCAGUUUUUGAUCCUAACUCCGUGGAGGAUACAACAGGUGACCAGCUGGAUAUUGUCAACCCAGUCAUCUCAGCUGGACAUGGCUGACAAUGCAUUUGAUGAUCAGUAUGAGGGCUGUACUAAAGAAAUGGAGAAAAAGGCACCCCAGCUGUUAAAAGAAGAAAUGCGAAUGAAUGGACUUUUAAGGAGUGAAUGGGAAAAGGCAGAAGAAUACUGGAAGCAAAACAUGAAGAAGAGAAUAAACUAUCCAAAACAAUUCAAUGAUUUCCACGGAACAGCUCUAGUGGCCUAUACGGGGGACAUUGCAGUAGAAUUUAACAGAGCUGUAAGAGAAUUCCGUCAAAAUUCACUUAACUUUCACUUCAAAGCCUUCCAUUAUUAUUUGACAAGAGCACUUCAGCUUCUCUCUACAACGGAGUGUUACACUGUUUAUAGAGGUUCUAAGACCAAGUUUUAUCACAGUAAGAGAGGAAGUGUACGUUUUGGGCAAUUUACCUCAUCAUCUUUGGAUAGAACUGUAGCUACGAGAGACUAUCUUGGAGCAGGUGGGACACUGUUUACCAUCAGAACCUGCUCGGGUGUUGAUAUUCAAGCAUUCUCUACGAAACCACAUGAAAAGGAGGUGCUAAUUCCAGGGUAUGAGGUGUAUCAGAAAGUCACCGUACAAGGCACAAAUGAAAAAAGGAAUGAAAUUUUACUUGAAAGUCCAAAAAAAAUGAAGAGUACCUUCAACUGCUUCCAUAUUUCCACUGGCAAUACAAGAGUGGGAGACAACAACUUCGCCAGGUCAGGAAGGAGAGGAAGCCCUGAGUUCCUUCUGCUGCUUCCUGGCCUCCUCGCCUCGCUGCUCCUCCCUGUGGAGCUGUAACCACCCCUGCCUGGUGCCUGGUUCUGCGUGGGGUUUGUGAAGAGGGGUGUCAGAGGGAGGCAAAAGGGAAGGGAGCUUAAUGGCUUGCCAGCACUGGCAGUGUUGGGAAGGGUGCAACAUAGAUCAUUUGGGUGACCUCCAUUAGCGCUCAUGUCUUCCAAGACAUCUGAGGGAGCUACUGGGUCUGUCUGCAAAAGGAUGCUCUGUCUUCAAAUUUACUGCCUGAGAUAAGUCCCUGUUCUUCUUGACACUUUGCUAUGAUUAAAAAGCCAUAUUUUUAUGCACUGUCAGCAGUAACAGUCUUAAAAAUGCAAUUUAAUUGUGAUGUUAUAAUCUAAAAAAAUGAACCGUUUGUAAUCACA